UACGUAGGGGCCUAGCGUUGUCCGGAUUUAUUGGGCGUAAAGAGCUCGUAGGCGGUUCGGUAAGUCAGGUGUGAAAUCUCCACGCUCAACGUGGAGGCGCCACCUGAAACUGCCGUGACUCGAGUCCGGUAGGGGAGUGUGGAAUUCCUGGUGUAGCGGUGAAAUGCGUAGAUAUCUGGAGGAACACCGGUGGCGAAGGCGGCAUCCUGGACCGGUAUUGACGCUGAGGCGCGAAAGCUAGGGGAGCAAACGGG
rnacentral:rRNA from 1 species